rnacentral:rRNA from 1 species
UACGUAGGGUGCAAGCGUUGUCCGGAAUUAUUGGGCGUAAAGAGCUCGUAGGCGGUCUGUCGCGUCGGCUGUGAAAACUCGGGGCUCAACUCCGAGCUUGCAGUCGAUACGGGCAGGCUAGAGUUCGGCAGGGGAGACUGGAAUUCCUGGUGUAGCGGUGAAAUGCGUAGAUAUCUGGAGGAACACCGGUGGCGAAGGCGGCAUCCUGGACCGAGAUUGACGCUGAGGCGCGAAAGCCAGGGGAGCAAACGGG